UCCUGCUGAGAAGUACUUCCUCUUUUCAG
rnacentral:piRNA from 1 species